GCCAGCACGGUGGUGCGUGCCUGUAGUCCCAGCUACUUGGGAGGCGGAGGUGGGAGGAUCGCUUGAGCCCAGGAGUUCUGGGCUGCAGUGUGCUAUGCCGAUCUGGUGUCUGCACUAAGUUUGGCAUCAAUAGGGUGACCUCCCGGGAGCGGGGGACUAUCAGGUUGCCUAAGGAGGGGAGAACCGACCCAUGUCAGAAACAGAGCAGGUCAAAACUCCUGUGCUAAUCAGUAGUGGGAUGGCACCUGUGAACAGCCACUGCACUCCUGCCUGGGCAACAUAGCAAGACCAUGUCUCA
rnacentral:SRP_RNA from 1 species